rnacentral:sRNA from 1 species
CGAAAGUCGACUUUAGAUCCCUAAUAGUCAGGUUGUCAGGCUGUCAGGCUUUAAAUUCCUAAAGCGGUGUUGUUACCCACACCCAGCAAAUUGUUAUUUUUAAAUCCCAACUUUCCGCAGUUGUUUGGCAUGUUUAUCACUGGAUGGAUAUGUUUCUUUUCAGUUUGCGUCUGUGCUAUUUUAGGAAGUGAAAAUUCAAACCUUGAUAUUAGUGUCAGCAUAAGAAAUGUUACUAAUGAAUUUAUUGUUCGCUUCAAACACUACUAUUGGAAGCACACAAGAGAAGCAUAUAUUCAAUCUGCGCUAAACAGACAAAAUAUUACAAUAUGCACAUUUGGACAUAGGAUGGAUAUGUCAUUACUUCAUCCAAGUGAUUUUGAAGUUGUCCACUGCGCACUACCGGUUGACAGGAUCUUAAUAUCCCAUCCAGCUAUUAAGGCUGUUAACAUUCAAUCUGUUAUAUUCAGACAAUUGAAUUAUUUCUCUGGAUCGAAUAAUACAAUUAAUACACGACAAGACACCUCUCUGAAAUCAUACGAUCGCCAGCUUCUAGGACUAUUUCAAAAACACAUUACAGAGUUGUUGGAUGUUCCCAAGUUAUGGAGUCUUGGUAUUACCGGAAAAGGUAUUAAAGUUGCAGUUUUCGAUACUGGAUUGCCGAACCAUCAUCCACAUUUCCGCAAUGUAAAGGAAAGAACAAAUUGGACGAACGAAAAAUCCCUUGAUGACGGAGUUAGUCACGGGACAUUUGUUUCUGGUGUGAUUGCAUCAUCUAAUGAAUGCUUGGGUAUUGCACCAGAUGUUGAACUCCACAUUUUUCGUGUUUUUUCAAAUAAACAGGUAAAAACAGAAUAGCUUUUGCGAAUUAUGGCAAGUAGAAAUAGGUAUAUUAAAGCAAAAACAAGGGAUAUGCUAUGUUGGAAUAUCGUCCCCUUGCCGCCAAAUAUACGUAAAUUCCAACAUAAUUAUAGAAUAGCGUGGAAUGAAACAUUA